rnacentral:rRNA from 1 species
AACGAACGCUGGCGGCAUGCCUAACACAUGCAAGUCGAACGAGACCUUCGGGUCUAGUGGCGCACGGGUGCGUAACGCGUGGGAACCUGCCCUUAGGUUCGGAAUAACUCCCCGAAAGGGGUGCUAAUACCGGAUAAUGUCUUCGGACCAAAGAUUUAUCGCCUUUGGAUGGGCCCGCGUUGGAUUAGCUAGUUGGUAGGGUAAAAGCCUACCAAGGCGACGAUCCAUAGCUGGUCUGAGAGGAUGAUCAGCCACACUGGGACUGAGACACGGCCCAGACUCCUACGGGAGGCAGGAGUGGGGAAUAUUGGACAGUGGGCGAAGGCCUGAUCCAGCAAGGCCGGGUGAGUGAUGAAGGCCUUAGGGUUGUAAAGCUCUUUUACCCGGGAUGAUAAUGACGGUACCGGGUGAAUAAGCUCCGGCUAACUCCGUG